rnacentral:rRNA from 1 species
AUGGGGGGACCUGAUCAGCCAUGCCGCGUGUGUGAAGAAGGCCUUUUGGUUGUAAAGCACUUUAAGCGAGGAGGAGGAGCUUCAGGUUAAUACCCUGGAUGCUUGGACGUUACUCGCAGAAUAAGCACCGGCUAACUCUGUGCCAGCAGCCGCGGUAAUACAGAGGGUGCAAGCGUUAAUCGGAUUUACUGGGCGUAAAGCGUGCG